GGUGAUUUAGCUCAGUGGUGUAAGCUCCUGCCUGGCAAGCACAAGGUGGUGAGUUCAAUCACCG
rnacentral:tRNA from 1 species